rnacentral:rRNA from 1 species
GAUGAACGCUGGCGGCGUGCCUAAUACAUGCAAGUCGAGCGAACAGAUGAGGAGCUUGCUCCUCUGACGUUAGCGGCGGACGGGUGAUUAACACGUGGAUAACCUACCUAUAAGACUGGGAUAACUUCGGGAAACCGGAGCUAAUACCGGAUAAUAUAUUGAACCGCAUGGUUCAAUAGUGAAAGACGGUUUUGCUGUCACUUAUAGAUGGAUCCGCGCCGCAUUAGCUAGUUGGUAAGGUAACGGCUUACCACGGCAACGAUGCGUAGCCGACCUGAGCGGGUGAUCGGCCACACUGGAACUGAGACACGGUCCAGACUCCUACGGGAGGCAGCAGUAGGGAAUCUUCCGCAAUGGGCGAAAGCCUGACGGAGCAACGCCGCGUGAGUGAUGAAGGUCUUCGGAUCGUAAAACUCUGUUAUUAGGGAAGAACAAAUGUGUAAGUAACUAUGCACGUCUUGACGGUACCUAAUCAGAAAGCCACGGCUAACUACGUG